rnacentral:rRNA from 1 species
UGCAGUCGAGCGGAACGAGUUAUCUGAACCUUCGGGGGACGAUAACGGCGUCGAGCGGCGGACGGGUGAGUAAUGCCUAGGAAAUUGCCCUGAUGUGGGGGAUAACCAUUGGAAACGAUGGCUAAUACCGCAUGAUGCCUACGGGCCAAAGAGGGGGACCUUCGGGCCUCUCGCGUCAGGAUAUGCCUAGGUGGGAUUAGCUAGUUGGUGAGGUAAGGGCUCACCAAGGCGACGAUCCCUAGCUGGUCUGAGAGGAUGAUCAGCCACACUGGAACUGAGACACGGUCCAGACUCCUACGGGAGGCAGCAGUGGGGAAUAUUGCACAAUGGGCGCAAGCCUGAUGCAGCCAUGCCGCGUGUGUGAAGAAGGCCUUCGGGUUGUAAAGCACUUUCAGUCGUGAGGAAGGUAGUGUAGUUAAUAGCUGCAUUAUUUGACGUUAGCGACAGAAGAAGCACCGGCUAACUCCGUGCCAGCAGCCGCGGUAAUACGGAGGGUGCGAGCGUUAAUCGGAAUUACUGGGCGUAAAGCGCAUGCAGGUGGUUUGUUAAGUCAGAUGUGAAAGCCCGGGGCUCAACCUCGGAAUAGCAUUUGAAACUGGCAGACUAGAGUACUGUAGAGGGGGGUAGAAUUUCAGGUGUAGCGGUGAAAUGCGUAGAGAUCUGAAGGAAUACCGGUGGCGAAGGCGGCCCCCUGGACAGAUACUGACACUCAGAUGCGAAAGCGUGGGGAGCAAACAGGAUUAGAUACCCU